GCCCCCGCAGUCCCCGCCGGCCCCCGGGAAGCUGUAAGUUUUUUUCUGCUUUGUACAAAACAUGCUGAGACUGGAAAUUUGCCAGUGACCUAAACAGCCAAAAGCAGAUGACCUAAAGUUGGGGAAGGAAAAAGUUUAAAGAAAGUGCAUAAUGAGACUUCAGGAGGUGUUGCAGACACACUCUUUCCAAACACACAUAAAAUCCGUGGGACUUGGAUUCUUCUGGAGGCUGUGAGCACAGAAAUCUCCAAAAUCUUCAGAUCUGAUUCGACUCCUGGGUUCCUACAACCAAGCACCUCCAUCUUACCACUUGGUUUCCCAUCCAGCCCGGUGCUUGAGUGACGCAACUGCCUGUGUGUAAGCACUUGUUACCCUGUUGUCACUACAGCUCUGAGAAGUGGAUACAUUCAUUUCCAGUCCUGAUUCACCUCCCCACCAGUGAACCAGCAGAGGUGCUGCUCUUCCACUCCUAUUUUUUGCUGGCAUUCAUUUCCUCAAAGCAGAUGGCUUGUGAG